rnacentral:rRNA from 1 species
UCCUCAUUCCAGUGAAAUAUGCCCUAACACAGUAUAAACGGAGCAGGUAUCAGGCACAAUUACUAGCCCAAGACACCAAGCUUUGCCACACCCACACGGGCCACCAGCAGUGAUAGACAUUAAGCAAUAAGCGAACAUACCAAAUAUUCUUAAAGCUUGACUUAGUUAUGAUUGAACCAGGGCCGGUAAACCUCGUGCCAGCCACCGCGGUUAUACGAGGGGCCCAAAGCAGCAGACUCUCGGCGUAAAUAGUGGCUAGAAUUACACCCACACAUUAAAAAUUAAACCAUAUCCUAACCGUAAAACACAGGAUAAAUGAAAACAAACAUUUUUAACAACUGGAAAUUUGACCCACGAAAACUAAGAAACAAACUAGGAUUAGAUACCCUACUAUGCUUAGUCGUUAAUACGAUAUUAUUAUACUAAAAUAUCCGCCAGAAAACUACGAGCGAAAAGCUUAAAACUCAAAGGACUUGGCGGUGCUCCAUACCGGAUUAGAGGAGCCUGUCCUAUAAUCGAUACUCCACGCUAAACCUCACCAAUCUUUGCCUAAUCAGCCUAUAUACCGCCGUCGCCAAUCUACCUCAUGAGAGAAAAAUAGUAGAUACAACAGUUCUACAACUAAAACGUCAGGUCAAGGUGUAGCUAAUAGAAUGGAAGAGAUGGGCUACAUUUUUUAAAAUAAAACAUACGGCACGGUACUAUGAAAUUUUUACCUAAAGGAGGAUUUAAUAGUAAAACUAACAAGAAAGUUAAUUUUAAACACG